CCCUUAGACGUUCUGGGCCGCACGCGCGCUACACUGACCAGUGCAACAAGCAUCCGUCCCUGGCCGACAGGCCCGGGCAAUCUUUGAACGCUGGUCGUGAUGGGGAUAGACUUUUGCAAUUUUUGGUCUUCAACGAGGAAUUCCUAGUAAACGCAAGUCAUCAACUUGCAUUGAUUACGUCCCUGCCCUUUGUACACACCGCCCGUCGCACCUACCGAUUGAAUGGUCCGGUGAAGCCUCCGGAUUGGCGCGCACCUCGGUGCCGCCGAGAAGUUGGCUAAACCUUACCAUUUAGAGGAAGGUGAAGUCGUAACA
rnacentral:rRNA from 1 species